rnacentral:lncRNA from 10 species
CAGACAGUGAAGCCUGAGCAGCAGGAGGAGAGCCUGCAGGCCUCCUGGGUAGAAUUGCACCUUCACAAUAAUAGAAAAGGGAGCACUGUUUCAGCCUCAGUUUUUAUUUAUAAUGGCGGCAUGAAAAAAAUACUGCUGGAUUUUAGCAUGAGUCCAGAUAGAGAUAGCUCUGAGAGUUCUCACUGUGACAGCCCACGUCUUUCACAGACACCACGGAAUACUAAUAGGGCUUCUGAAACAGAUACACAAUGCAUUAGAGAGAAAAACAGCUCUUAUUCUGAGAAAGAUUAUAUUGAGAGAAAAAAGUUAAAAGUGUCUUAAGAAAAAACUGAGAUUAGAUAUAAGAUUGAUCAAGUCAGCCAGAAAAUAUUUCCCUAAGAAGAAUUUCUCUCCAAACACCCAAAGUGCAUAGCUACUCUCAGCAAGAGAAACAUGAGCAUUAUUGAAUAAAGGGGCGCCUAGCUCUCAGCAGAAUUUUAAAAGAUUUAUCUUCCAUCUCUGCUGCUCUCUUAUUUCCUAACCAUUGAAUGUGAGAUCUACACUGGAAUAUAUCUGACAACUUCCACCAGCACUU